UACUAAGGGUCCAAGCGUUGUUCGGAAUCAUUGGGCGUAAAGCGCGCGCAGGCGGGUCAGCAAGUCAGAUGUGAAAUCUCGAAGCUCAACUUCGAAACUGCGUCUGAAACUGCUAGUCUAGAGUGUCGGAGGGGGUAGGGGAAUUUCACGUGUAGGGGUAAAAUCCGUAGAGAUGUGAAGGAACACCGGGGGCGAAGGCGCCUACCUGGACGACUACUGACGCUGAGGCGCGAAAGCGUGGGGAGCAAACAGG
rnacentral:rRNA from 1 species